rnacentral:rRNA from 1 species
UAGGGAAUCUUCCACAAUGGACGAAAGUCUGAUGGAGCAACGCCGCGUGAGUGAAGAAGGGUUUCGGCUCGUAAAACUCUGUUGUUAAAGAAGAACAUAUCUGAGAGUAACUGUUCAUACGUUGACGGUAUUUAACCAGAAAGUCACGGCUAACUACGUGCUAG